AGUGAACGCUGGCGGUAGGCCUAACACAUGCAAGUCGAACGGCAGCACAGUAAGAGCUUGCUCUUACGGGUGGCGAGUGGCGGACGGGUGAGGAAUACAUCGGAAUCUACUUUUUCGUGGGGGAUAACGUAGGGAAACUUACGCUAAUACCGCAUACGACCUACGGGGGAAAGCAGGGGAUCUUCGGACCUUGCGCGAUUGAAUGAGCCGAUGUCGGAUUAGCUAGUUGGCGGGGUAAAGGCCCACCAAGGCGACGAUCCGUAGCUGGUCUGAGAGGAUGAUCAGCCACACUGGAGCUGAGACACGGUCCAGACUCCUACGGGAGGCAGCAGUGGGGAAUAUUGGACAAUGGGCGCAAGCCUGAUCCAGCCAUCCCGCGUGGGUGAAGAAGGCCUUCGGGUUGUAAAGCCCUUUUGUUGGGAAAGAAAAGCAGCAGGUUAAUACCCCGCUGUUCUGACGGUACCCAAAGAAUAAGCACCGGCUAACUUCGUG
rnacentral:rRNA from 1 species